ensembl:ncRNA F49H12.9 ncRNA
UUUCACCCACCAAUUUUCUCCAGAUUUCGGUUUCGCUUCCUUAAUUGGUUUUCAAAUUCUCCAGGCCAAACGAC